UGCCUUGAAUAAACACACAGUGCGCUCCUUUUCAGGGUUCUUUUCAUAUUUUGAUAACACUUUGCAGAUUAUUCUUUUAUUUCCUCUUUGUAGCAUGUCAUGGACUUGCAAGACUUUCAUAUUUACUUAUUUGUAUUUAUCCUCUCUCCAGAUUACUACCCCUUUGAGCCUUUGAAACCUUGCGUUCCCUUUCUCUAUACAUCCAACGGUAAACCAACUGGGAACUUUUGUGCCAACACACGUAGACAAGACAAGACAAGAGUUCAAAGACGCUGUCGAAAUAGGUGUAUUUUUAAACAUACAGUUGUUUAAAAGAACCGUGGAGAGUUUGUACUUUUGCAAAAUGCAUUUUCUUUCAUGGUAGGGAAUCCAUAUUUGAUUAUUUCAAAAUUCUCACUUUUGUUUAGGUGCAUCAGGAAUGCACACACACACACACACACGGAUCAGCAAUAUGUGUGUAUGCAUUUUUUUUUUUUUUUUUUUUUUUUAGUGGCAAAAAAUCAAAUUGGGCUCCGCAAAGAGGAGAAAAGGAUGGAAUCAAAUUUGGGGUCUUGUAGCUAUCACACUCUGUUUAAUUGCCAGUCUUAACGGGAUGAGCACUGGAACAUGUCCGGGCAGAUUCAGGCAGCUGGUGAAAACUCAUGAAUCCUCCGCAGCACAGAAGAUUUGGAUUUGGCUUGCUGGAUGCCUGGUGACUAAUGAAGGAAGCCCCUUCGCUGGACAGACUGUCCCGGGGCACAAGGUGGUGUCGAUAGCAAAUCUGAUCGGAAUGAAUUAUGUCAGAGUUGACUUCUAUGGAAUUUAAGAUCUCAGAAAUGAAGAUGCAGCUGAGUUUUCUGUGCUUUCAACGUCUCUUUUAAUAAGUCUUCACAGCCUAUAGAAAGUGCAUAUUGCUUUACUUAAAACAUCAGGACAUUUAUAAAUCUAUCUUCUAUAGAUAUAUCCUAUAAAUUUUCUUCUUAUUAACCGAUGGGGACAUGUGACUUGGAAUUCUACAGAUAAUCUUCAAUGCCUAAUAUAUAGGUUAAUACAACUAAAAACUAAAUUAAAAUAAAAAACAAAAUAGAUGCAAAAGACUAAUCUUCCAGGAAAAAAAAAAACACCCACAAUUAAUAGAGCAAUGAUCUCCUAGUAGCUAUACUUAAUUC